UCUGCCUUGUAGAUCGUCUGUGGUGGUGGGCCUGGUUUACACCCACGCCUAGAGAAUAAUGACUGCAAAACUAAACGCCUUAUUUAUUCUUAACAAGCAAGGAAUUAGUUCACAGCAGUCCCCGCUCCACAGCAAAGUGGUCCUAGUCCCGAUACAAAAUAAGCAACAGGUUUCUGAUUCAAGGAAGUCUGAUUAGCCCAUAAUGGUUACAUUUAACCUUUUAGCCGGAUAAAAGCAGAUUUAUGUUAGCAUAAAUCACACAGUAACUUCUGGAACUCGUGUAGUUUGUGCAACAUCUAUUCCAGCUCGAUUAAGUAAUAUGUAUCGGACUCUCAGCUUUGUGAAUAUGCACCACUUGAUGAGAUUACUAACAACUUUGAAGUUACAGCGUGUUAAUGUUUUAUAGGCACUGGGACAAGUUAGGCAUUUAAUUUGGGACCGUAUUGUUUAAAAAAAUGUGUUUAAAAAAAAUCUUCAUCAAAAGAAUGAAGCAUUGAAACAUUUUCUCCCCAUGAUGGUGAAUAUCAACUCUGUAGACCAUGUGACUUGAUGUACAUUGGCACGGUUCCAAAUGUACCUUUUCAUCUGACCUAUUAAUGCAUAACUUGUGUUGAAUGUGCCAUUUGACCUGUGACUCAGUGACGUGCUCCCAGGCAGUUUGUGCCUCUGCCACUUUAACUGCAGCCUCUACUUUGCAAAGAGCCCUGGAGUUAACGGGAACCUCGACAUAAUGUGUCCCGAAUAAAGAUCAAUUCUAACGCCUGCAGUUCAAACUACCUUCCCUCGCGUAUCAAACGCUGCCUACAUUUUCAUUUUGCUGGAGGCUGCCUGCCCUCAACGUAUAAAAUGAUUUGUUGCGAAGAGGGGAGAGGAAUUUAAUGCAGAGCAAUUUUCUACUAACAUCAAAUUCCACCUUAUCGCUGCUCGUCUAGCUGGCAACAAACGCCCGAGGAAAUGGAAGGCUGGUAAACCAUUUUUCCGUUUAACAAAAUGCUGUACGCCCGUGAAUUAGACAACAAGGGGCGACUUUUUGUCAUUCUUGUUUUAAGGAAGCGCGCCUUUUGCCAGUGACAACCAACAAUUCUGUUGCAUUCUAAAAACAAUGAUGACUAUGACCUGAAUAGUCUUCGGUGAAAAAGGGAAAUUGCUUCCAGAUGGAAUAAAAAUAAAUAUGUGAUGUGUUCAAAAUUUUUUUUUUAUAUAAGUGGUCCAUAGUAUGUUUUCCUCUUUCAAAGUUUCAAUUAAAAAGGCGGGGAAUUGAGCUUCCAGUGGAAGAAAAUGCUAUGGGACUUUAAAAAGUCACGAGUACAAUAGUUACAUACUCUUUACUCGGGUCAUAAAUCAUGUUUGCAUUCAUCUUGAGGAUAACACGCUAUCUAAAAUGCUUUUGAAGCCUCUUCUCCGAUCUCAGAGGUGUCAAGAACCAUCAAAGAUGACGGGGCUUAGCUUAGCUACAUCACCUCCACCGCCUCACCGCGCCCCGUGCCUACACCCACCCCUGCCUCGGGGGCAGAAAACGUGGAUUUGUCUCUAAAGAAACAUUUGGGAAAAUCUCAAGAGAGUCACAGGAAGAAGUAUUGGUUCGCCGGAUGAAUAGCAAAUUCCACCUGCAACUGGCCGAUCAACAAAACCUCGACGUUUGACCACUGCAGAGGAUUAAUCCGUUUUGUGAUGUCGAAAAAGAAAAUUAAAAAAUAAUAUCCUGCUAUAAAUUCAACGAGAUUUUUUUUUUUUAAAUCGGCCGCUGGCAACGAAGACAAACGAAGAUGACAAACUUGUAAAAGGAAGGCAAAAUAAGACCGUGAGUUGGCGUAUCUACUGGGGACUGGGUGGAUUCUGGAUAUUAUUGUCAAAUGAGUCAGCGGUUUUCACAGGGACCUUCGCCGAGUUCCUUCACUUACAUACCGACCAAGCUAAA